CUUAAAAUGACAAACUGGAACUGACUAGCCAUAUUACGUACAACGAUUUGCAAGAAAGCAGAGGAACAAAAAAAAAGUACUUCAGAAGGUGGGCUGCUCUACUGGGGCAGGAACGACCUCCGAGUGAAACUUGAUAGCCAUUCAACUCUGAGCAAGGCCAGUAUCCCUGUUCCCAGGACGUGCCCUCCUACCAUCAUCAUCAUCAUCAUCAUCAUCAUCAUCCCAAUGAUGACUCUUCUCCGUGUGGCCUUUGGAUCAGCUCCAAGUAGCACUCAAACUGCGAGUGCUAAAUAUGUGCCGGAGCUCAACACCAGGACCUCCGACUCAAAGCAGUCUGUGCUCCGCCACCUCAAAUGCUACACCCAGUAUAAUUAAGAUUAAUCUGAGGGAAAAACCGCAACCCCACUUUCUGGGUACUACAAUAGAUGAGGUUACAGGCCAACUUGUUACAGCAAAAGGAUUAAAAGAAAAUCUCAAAAAGACACAAACCUGAAAACCUGAUGGAAGAACAAGCAGAGACAGCAAGGAGCAGCAACUGGUUUGCAGACGCUAACGCUAAUGAGAAGGACCGCAAAAAGAAGCAGCGCUUGUGGAUGCUAACGCUAAUGAGAAGGACCGCAAAAAGGAGCAGGGUUUGUGGACGCUAACGUUGAUGAAAAGGACCGCAAAAAGGAGCAGUGCUUGUGGAUGCUAACGUUGAUGAAAAGGACCGCAAAAAGGAGCAGUGCUUGUGGAUGCUAACGCUAAUGAGAAGGACCGCAAAAAGGAGCAGUGCUUGUGGAUGCUAACGCUAAUGAGAAGGACCGCAAAAAGGAGCAGGGUUUGUGGACGCUAACGUUGAUGAAAAGGACCGCAAAAAGGAGCAGUGCUUGAGGAUGCUAACGCUAAUGAGAAGGACCGCAAAAAGGAGCAGGGUUUGUGGACGCUAACGUUGAUGAAAAGGACCGCAAAAAGGAGCAGUGCUUGUGGAUGCUAACGCUAAUGAGAAGGACCGCAAAAAGAAGCAGUGCUUGUAGAUGGUAACGCUAAUGAGAAGGACCGCAAAAAGAAGCAGCGCUUGUGGAUGCUAACGCUAAUGAGAAGGACCGCAAAAAGGAGCAGGGUUUGUGGACGCUAACGUUGAUGAAAAGGACCGCAAAAAGGAGCAGUGCUUGUGGAUGCUAACGCUAAUGAGAAGGACCGCAAAAAGAAGCAGUGCUUGUGGAUGCUAACGCUAAUGAGAAGGACCGCAAAAAGGAGCAGUGCUUGUGGAUGCUAACGCUAAUGAGAAGGACCGCAAAAAGGAGCAGUGCUUGUGGAUGCUAACGCUAAUGAGAAGGACCGCAAAAAGGAGCAGGGUUUGUGGACGCUAACGCUAAUGAGAAGGACCGCAAAAAGAAGCAGUGCUUGUGGAUGCUAACGCUAAUGAGAAGGACCGCAAAAAGGAGCAGGGUUUGUGGACGCUAACGCUAAUGAGAAGGACCGCAAAAAGGAGCAGGGUUUGUGGACGCUAACGCUAAUGAGAAGGACCGCAAAAAGGAGCAGUGUCUGUUGACGCCAAUGCUAAUGAGAAGUUCCACGCAAAAGAAAAGUUUGAUGCGACUUACAGGUGUUGAAAGAAAAUACUGCAUUGUUACGUGUUUAAGUAAUUAAUAGUGCAUUAUUUUUGUUACAGAUCGAUUUGUGAAUAUGACAUCAUCGUGGUCUUCAUGAGCUGCGGCACCUCAGAGUUUUCAAAUUAAGCAAAAGUUGCAGCCACAGCAUUCACUGUUUGCAGAAACAGCUUGUUUGUAUUAGCAAGCAGUUUCCCUAAUACUCAGUCCACAUUUUGGUGUGAAGAGAAACAUUCUGGAAGUUUAUCACUCAAGGCAGUGGUGGUGCAGCUUAGCAAGUUCACCCAUAAGGCUGUUUUUCUCAUGACAAAUAAAAAAUUAUAAUCAUGUGGAAGUGAUAAAAACAAAAACUUACUGGUAAAGUGCUGCAACCAAUUGCUAAAUGAACUGUCCACUUAAAGAAAUCAAUGAUACUGUAGCCAUAAUAACCCAAUAAAAAAAAAAACUAAUCAUUAUAGUUCACAAAUCUUUUUCUCCAGUGUUAAUUGUCACCCACUACGUUCGUAAAAACCAUGACAGUGAUCAGGUUCUCUGUUAUUAAACUGUGAC